GACGAACGCUGGCGGCGUGCCUAAUACAUGCAAGUUGAGCGCUGAAGGUUGGUACUUGUACCAACUGGAUGAGCAGCGAACGGGUGAGUAACGCGUGGGGAAUCUGCCUUUGAGCGGGGGACAACAUUUGGAAACGAAUGCUAAUACCGCAUAAAAACUUUAAACACAAGUUUUAAGUUUGAAAGAUGCAAUUGCAUCACUCAAAGAUGAUCCCGCGUUGUAUUAGCUAGUUGGUGAGGUAAAGGCUCACCAAGGCGAUGAUACAUAGCCGACCUGAGAGGGUGAUCGGCCACAUUGGGACUGAGACACGGCCCAAACUCCUACGGGAGGCAGCAGUAGGGAAUCUUCGGCAAUGGACGAAAGUCUGACCGAGCAACGCCGCGUGAGUGAUGAAGGUUUUCGGAUCGUAAAACUCUGUUGGUAGAGAAGAACGUUGGUGAGAGUGGAAAGCUCAUCAAGUGACGGUAACUACCCAGAAAGGGACGGCUAACUACGU
rnacentral:rRNA from 1 species